rnacentral:rRNA from 1 species
GACGAACCGUGCGAACGUUAUUCGGAAUCACUGGGCUUAAAGGGUGUGUAGGCGGCUAGCUAAGUAGGGUGUGAAAGGCCUCGGCCUAACCGAGGCACUGCGCUCUAAACUGACUGGCUUGAGUAAGAUAGGGGUGUGCGGAACUUCCAGUGGAGCGGUGAAAUGUGUUGAUAUUGGAAGGAACGCCGGUGGCGAAAGCGGCACACUGGGUCUUAACUGACGCUGAGACACGAAAGCCAGGGGAGCGAACGGG